UACGUAGGGUGCGAGCGUUAAUCGGAAUUACUGGGCGUAAAGCGUGCGCAGGCGGUCUCGCAAGUCCGAUGUGAAAUCCCCGGGCUUAACCUGGGAACUGCAUUGGUGACUGCACGGCUAGAGUGUGUCAGAGGGGGGUAGAAUUCCACGUGUAGCAGUGAAAUGCGUAGAGAUGUGGAGGAAUACCGAUGGCGAAGGCAGCCCCCUGGGAUAACACUGACGCUCAUGCACGAAAGCGUGGGGAGCAAACAGG
rnacentral:rRNA from 1 species